AAUAACACGAACACAACUCAUUUAGUUCGAUUGAAUAAUAAAUCCCCGAAAGAAAAUGGAGGUUUUUAACAGAAUUAGCAAGUUUUUACGGACAUACGCCGUGGGAGAAAAACAAACUGUCAGAAAAAAACAACACGAAGAAUUUCACUACCUACACUUUAUAUUAUCUGAGGAGAGAUAUUAUUGGAGAGUAAUAGAAUAAUACUUGAAUUCGGACAGAGCUUUAUUGAAGUAGGCGCUGUCCAUGCAAUGCUAAAAGGCAAGCCGUAGACUAUAGAAUACUAUAUAACUAGUUCCAUGGUUGGGUGUACUGUAAAACUAAAUUUCAAAAGCAGGAAAAAAUAUGUUUACAAAAGAAUGUACAACCAUGAGUCCAACACAAACCAAUUUAAGGAGAUCAGAUAGACAAUGCAUGGAAACUGAGUGUAAACAGUAAAUGGAAUACAAUUUAGAAAAAAAAGUAUGCUGUGCUCACACCGCAAGCAGUGAAAUCCGAGUGUUAGAGGAGAUAUACCCUGAUCUUUAGAUGAAACAUGUCACAAUUUGUCGAGAAAUAGAAUAUAACUUGUAACACAGAAAAUUGUGUAUUUACUUGCAUAUUAACAUUUCCCAUUAUUUGACAAUGAGUCCAGCUGCUUCACAGUAAACAAUGUAGGCCUACAUCUAUAUAUUAGUAAACAUUACAUGUAUAUGAUUGAACUACAUGGCGUGUGCUGUUACAUGAAUAUGCUACUUAACCUUUGUGAACCUUAAUGAAUUGUAAAAUCCUAUGACAACUAUGUACAUAACCACCAUACUGGUUGUUCGAAGCUAAGUCUCGCCUCUCCCGAUGGCAUCGAAAGUUGAUUAUUGUCUUAUGUUAAUAAAUGUCUAAUUAAUA